rnacentral:rRNA from 1 species
UUGAACGCUGGCGGCAUGCCUUACACAUGCAAGUCGAACGGUAACAGGUCUUCGGAUGCUGACGAGUGGCGAACGGGUGAGUAAUACAUCGGAACGUGCCCGAUCGUGGGGGAUAACGAAGCGAAAGCUUUGCUAAUACCGCAUAAGAUCUACGGAUGAAAGCAGGGGACCGCAAGGCCUUGCGCGAACGGAGCGGCCGAUGGCAGAUUAGGUAGUUGGUGGGAUAAAAGCUUACCAAGCCGACGAUCUGUAGCUGGUCUGAGAGGACGACCAGCCACACUGGGACUGGGCCACGGCCCAGACUCCUACGGGAGGCAGCAGUGGGGAAUUUUGGACAAUGGGCGAAAGCCUGAUCCAGCCAUGCCGCGUGCAGGAUGAAGGCCUUCGGGUUGUAAACUGCUUUUGUACGGAACGAAAAGACUCUGGUUAAUACCUGGGGUCCAUGACGGUACCGGAAGAAUAAGCACCGGCUAACUACGUG